rnacentral:rRNA from 1 species
UACAGAGGCCCCAAGCAUUAUCCGGAAUCACUGGGCGUAAAGGGUGUCAAGGCGGGUAUAUUAGUCGUUCGUCAAAUCCGUGGGCUCAACCUACGGCGCGCGAGCGAAACGGUAUACCUUGAGGGUGGGAGAGGUGUGUGGAACUCACGGUGUAGGGGUGAAAUCCGUUGAUAUCGUGGGGAACACCAAAGGCGAAGGCAGCACACUGGCCCAUUCCUGACGCUCACACACGAAAGCUAGGGUAGCGAACGGG